rnacentral:rRNA from 1 species
AUUGAACGCUGGCGGCAGGCUUAACACAUGCAAGUCGAGCGAGCGGCGGACGGGUGAGUAAUGUCUGGGAAACUGCUUGAUGGAGGGGGAUAACUACUGGAAACGGUAGCUAAUACCGCAUACCAUCAGAUGUGCCAUGAUGGGAUUAGCUAGUAGGUGGGGUAAUGGCUCACCAAGGCGACGAUCCCUAGCUGGUCUGAGAGGAUGACCAGCCACACUGGAACUGAGACACGGUCCAGACUCCUACGGGAGGCAGCAGUAGGGAAUAUUGCACAAUGGGCGAAAGCCUGAUGCAGCAAUGCCGCGUGAGUGAAGAAGGCCUUCGGGUUGUAAAGUACUUUCAGCGGGGAGGCGUUACCCGCAGAAAAAGCACCGGCUAACUCCGUGCCAGCAGCCGCGGUAAUAC